CCUGUUCGAGCGUCAUUUCAACCCUCAAGCCCCCGGGUUUGGUGUUGGGGAUCGGCUCUGCCCUUCUGGGCGGUGCCGCCCCCGAAAUACAUUGGCGGUCUCGCUGCAGCCUCCAUUGCGUAGUAGCUAACACCUCGCAACUGGAACGCGGCGCGGCCAUGCCGUAAAACCCC
rnacentral:misc_RNA from 1 species